rnacentral:rRNA from 1 species
GACGAACGCUGGCGGCGUGCUUAACACAUGCAAGUCGAACGGAAAGGCCCUGCUUGCAGGGUACCGGAGUGGCGAACGGGUGAGUAACACGUGGGUGAUCUGCCCUGCACUUCGGGAUAAGCCUUGGUAACUGGUUCUAAUACCGGACAGGAGCCUUUUUGAGUUUGAAGGUUGGAACGUUUUUUUGGUGUAGGAUGAGGUUGGGGCCUAGCAGAUUGUUGGUGGGGUAAGGGCCUACCGAGGCGGCGACGGGUAGCCGGCCUGAGAGGGUGGACGGCAACAGUGAGACUGGGAUACGGCCCAGACCCCGACUCGUGGCAGAAGUAGGGGAUGUUGAUAAAGGGGCGCAGGCCUGAUGCAGCGCCACCGCGGGCGGGAUGACGGUCUUGGGGUUGUAAUCUCCAUGCGCUAGUGACGAAGCUUUUUGUGACGGUACCUAGAUAAGAAGCACCGGCUAACUACGUG